rnacentral:rRNA from 1 species
AUGGCCGCUCCGCCGCCGACGCUCGCCCUGGCGGUGGAGAAGGGGCCACGGGCGGGGGAGACCCGGCAGUGCAGCGCGGGCGCCGCCCUCCGCGUCGGUCGCGUCGUCAAGGGCAACGAUCUCGCCGUGCGCGACGGGGGCGCGUCGCAGCAGCACCUCGUCAUCGAGUUCCUCCCGCCGCCCGGCGCCGGCUGGGCCGUCUCCGAUCUCGGGUCCUCCAAUGGCACCCUCCUCAACGGCAAGCCCCUCGCGCCCUCCGUCCCCGCCCCGCUCUCCCAUGGGGACCUAAUCAAGGUCGGCGAUUCAACCGUGCUCGCCGUCUCCAUCGCGCCUGAUUCGGAUCCCAAGCCUGUCGCCAACCCCAGUUCCAGGCGCUCCUCGCGGCAGACGGCGGUGGUGGCACCGAUUGCGGCGGAGGAGAAGCCCCCUGCGGUGACCCGCCGUGGCGCACGAAAGAAAGCGCCGCCGGCCGCCCAGCACCCCGACACGCAGAAGGAAGAUCCAGAGGCAGAGGGAGUGGCGGUGGAUGAGAAGCCCCAGGUGGUUGCGCGCCGGGGAGGAUGGCAGAAGCUGGCUGCAGCGGAGCCCCUAUUUGAGAUGGAGACUGUGAAGGCGCCUCGCCGUGGAGAGCAGAGGAAGCCCGUGGAGCCGUCUGCACCAGAGAAUGAGGAGGUGGAUAAGGAGGAGGCCACGGCGGUGCCGCGUCGUGGCAGACGGAAGAAUGCUGCGCAGCCCCCUGAACUAGAGAAGGAAAAGGAGGAGGCCACAGUGGUGACGCGCCGUGGCAGACACAAGAAUGUUGUGGGGCCGUCUGAACCAGAGAAGGAAGAGGAGGAGGAGGCCACGGCGGUGACACGCCGUGGCAGGCAGAAGAAUGUUGUGGGGCCCUCUGAACCAGAGAAGGAAGAGGAGGAGGAGGCCAUGGCGGUGACACGCCGUGGCAGGCAGAAGAAUGUUGUGGAGCCCUCUGAACCAGAGAAGGAAGAGGAGGCCACAGCGGUGACACGCCGUGGCAUGCAGAAGAAUGCUGUGCAGCCCCCUGAACCAGAGAAGGAAAAGGAGGAGGAGGCCACAGUGGUGACGCGCUUUGGAAGGCAGAAGAAUGUUGUGGAGCCCCCUAAACCGGAGAAGGAAGAGGAGGAGGAGGCCCCGGUGGUGACAAACCGUAGAGGGAGGAAGAAGAAUGUGGUGACGGACGCCCCUCCGCAAUUGCCUCCGAAGAUGAGGUCCAUAAGGGGCCGUGGCAAAAAGGCUAGUGCAAGCGACAUGGUUCUUGAGGAUGUGGAAGAGAAGGGAGGAAAUGAGUUGGCUGUAUCAAGAGCUCGUCCUGAGGACUUGCUCGUUUCGGCGACAUUGAAGGGUGUUAAGGCUCAGAAGAGGGAUAAGGUGGCAUCUGGGGAUGGAGACAUAGAAGGGGCUGCAGUGUCAUUGGAGGAGAAAGUGCCGAAGGGGAGGGCCAGUGCUCGGCUUGCCGCUUUCGAUAAUGGUGCUAAUGCGGCUGCAGCGCCCAUUGAAGAGAUGGAGGAGGCUGUGGAUGCAACGCUCCGAGGGAGGCAGAAGAAGGACGUUGAACCUCAUGAACCAGAGAAGGACGAGGAGGAGGAGGCCAUGGUGGUGACACGUCGCGGGAGGCGGAAGAAGAACAUGGAACCUCAUGAACCAGAGAAGGAAGAGAAGGAGGACAAAGCCCCAGUGGUGAUGCACCAUGGCGCAACGAAGAAGAAUGCGGCGCCAGUUGCUCCUGUAUCACUGCCUCCAAAGAGGAAGUCUGCAAGGGGCCGGGGAAGGCCUACAAGGGCCAGUACAAUGAACACAGUUCUUGAGGAGGAGGUGGUGGAGGAGGAGCAGGGGGGAAAUAAGUUGAGUGCGUCAAGAGCACGCACAGGGAAGCCACCGACUUCGACGACGGUGAAGAAGGGGGAUAAUGCAGCAGCUGUGGAUGGAGAGGUCAAAAGAACUGCAAAGCCGUUGGAGGAGAAAUUACCAAAGAGGAGGGCCGUUGCUAAGCUUGCUGCUAACAAUAUCUCUUAUGCGGCUGCAGCCAAGCCCACUGAAGAGAUGGAGGAGGCUACAGAAGCGUCUCACCACGGGGGGCAGAAAGCCAUGGAGCACCCUGAACUAGAGAAUGAUGAGGAUGUCACCAUGGUGACGCACCGUGGGGAGCGGAAGAGGGCUGCUGUGGUGAAGCGCCGUGUUGCCGGGAAAAAGGAUGUGGUGGCAGUGAUGAGGUCUGGAAGGGGCCGAGGAAGGGUUGGAAGGACUAGGGCAAGGAAUAACGUUCCUGAGGAAGACAACAUGGUGGUAGAAAAGGAAAAUGAAUUGCCUGUGCCAAGAGAGCUGGCAGGGAAUCUGCCAGUUGCGACCGCGGUGAAUGGGGGUGAGGAUAGAGAAGUCAAAGGAACCAAAAAAGCAGUGGAGUCUGAAUUGCCAAAGGGGAGGGCCAGUGCCCAGUCUUCUUCCGACAACAAGAGUGAGGAGGAACAGGGUGGUGCGGAUGGUUCUUCUAGAGUUGCCAGUGCCCAGUCUUCUUCCGACAACAAGGGUGGUGCGAAUGGUUCUUCUAGACUUGAUUCAGGAUCUAACGGAAUCCCCAACACAACAAGCAAAUACAGAGAGGAUAGAAAACUGAAGCCGUACUCGACUCCCUUUGAUGUCAGGCUGGAUAGAGCUCUGAAGAAAUACUCUGCAUGA